rnacentral:rRNA from 1 species
UAUGUGAUCGUCUCUCGCAUAUCAAUAAGCGGAGGAAAAGAAACUAACAAGGAUUCCCCUAGUAACGGCGAGUGAAGCGGGAAGAGCUCAAAUUUGAAAUCUUAAAGGGUUUCCCUUUACGAAUUGUAGUUUAAAGAAGUGUUUUCUGUUGAGGUUUUGGUAAAAGUUCUUUGGAAUAGGACAUCAUAGAGGGUGAGAAUCCCGUAUUUGACCUUUACUUUCAACUUUGUGAUACACUUUCAAAGAGUCGGAUUGUUUGGGAAUGCAGUCCAAAAUGGGUGGUAAAUUUCAUCUAAAGCUAAAUAUUGGCGAGAGACCGAUAGCGAACAAGUACCGUGAGGGAAAGAUGAAAAGAACUUUGAAAAGAGAGUUAAACAGUACGUGAAAUUGUCAAAAGGGAAGCGUUUGACACCAGUGUUGUUUUUCUGAAAAUCAAUUAAAGAACUGUUUAUGCUAAGUUGUUUAGACUUUAUCAGCUAACUGUUUAGUUUUGAGCUUUUCUUUAAUGCACUUUUCAGUUAACAAAUCAACAUCAAUUUCUUUUGCUGUAAAAAAGCUUGAGGAAGGUGGCUUGAGAUUCGUCUUAAGUGUUUAUAGCCUCUUGCCUAUGCAGUCGGAGAGAUUGAAGGUCUGCAGCGUAGAUCCUUCGGGGCUAAAUGCAUUUGUGCUAAGUUAUAGCAUUUUAUAGACAACUUGUUGACUAUGAUUUGUCUUGUAGCUUACUCGCUUAUGUUAUUUUACCUACGCUUAGGAUGUUGAGUAGCGACAUACGCAC